rnacentral:rRNA from 1 species
GUUGUAUGGUUAAGUGACUAAGCGUACACGGUGGAUGCCUGGGCAGUCAGAGGCGAUGAAGGACGUACUAACUUGCGAUAAGCGCAGAUAAGGCAGUAAGAGCCGUUUGAGUCUGCGAUUUCCGAAUGGGGAAACCCAACUGCAUAAGCAGUUACUGUUAACUGAAUACAUAGGUUAACAGAGCAAACCGGGGGAACUGAAACAUCUAAGUACCCCGAGGAGAAGAAAUCAACCGAGAUUCCGGUAGUAGCGGCGAGCGAACCUGGAUUAGCCCUUAAGCACUCGGUGAAGUAGGUGAACAAGCUGGAAAGCUUGGCGAUACAGGGUGAUAGCCCCGUAACCGACGCUUCAUCGAGCGUGAAAUCGAGUAGGGCGGGACACGUGAUAUCCUGUCUGAAUAUGGGGGGACCAUCCUCCAAGGCUAAAUACUCCUGACUGACCGAUAGUGAACCAGUACCGUGAGGGAAAGGCGAAAAGAACCCCUGUGAGGGGAGUGAAAUAGAACCUGAAACCGUGUACGUACAAGCAGUAGGAGCACCUUCGUGGUGUGACUGCGUACCUUUUGUAUAAUGGGUCAGCGACUUAUAUUCAGUGGCAAGGUUAACCGUAUAGGGGAGCCGUAGCGAAAGCGAGUCUUAACUGGGCGUUCAGUCUCUGGAUAUAGACCCGAAACCGGGUGAUCUAGCCAUGGGCAGGUUGAAGGUUGAGUAACAUCAACUGGAGGACCGAACCGACUAAUGUUGAAAAAUUAGCGGAUGACUUGUGGCUAGGGGUGAAAGGCCAAUCAAACUCGGAGAUAGCUGGUUCUCCCCGAAAGCUAUUUAGGUAGCGCCUCGGACGAAUACUACUGGGGGUAGAGCACUGUUAAGGCUAGGGGGUCAUCCCGACUUACCAACCCUUUGCAAACUCCGAAUACCAGUAAGUACUAUCCGGGAGACACACGGCGGGUGCUAACGUCCGUCGUGGAGAGGGAAACAACCCAGACCGCCAGCUAAGGUCCCAAAGUAUUGCUAAGUGGGAAACGAUGUGGGAAGGCUCAGACAGCUAGGAUGUUGGCUUAGAAGCAGCCAUCAUUUAAAGAAAGCGUAAUAGCUCACUAGUCGAGUCGGCCUGCGCGGAAGAUGUAACGGGGCUAAGCAAUACACCGAAGCUGCGGCAAUAUCUUUUAGA